rnacentral:lncRNA from 1 species
CAGGUGUUCUUCAUACCUGCCUCUACCCAACCUCUGGGUAACGGCAGAUUAAAUUAAGCAUAUCACCUUUCCCGUAACAUUUAUUUUUCCACAGUAAUCACGCAAGACUUUUAAUAAAAGUAAAUCAGCUUCGAUUAGGAGUGGUUUCAUGGUACCCUUAGCCUACAAAAGCCCCGUAGUGAACAGGAGAGCAACAAUGCUCCGGAGGCCGCCCCGCUGAGCAUCCCGUCCCGCCUCACGGCACGGACCUGGGAGAGGCCGAGCCCUCCCCGGGACACCCCCGUCCCCUGAGGGAACCCAGCUGGGCACCGGCCCCAGGAGAAAAACCUCCCCACAGCCACACCGGCAUCCCAGACCGCUGCUUCUGCCUAGAAAAGGGCUAGAGGUGGCCAGCCGCCAGCCCGCAGCGACCUACGCCAUGAGCGGCCUCCUCCCUCCCCUCAUCGCUGAGGCGGCCUCUCCCUUUCCCACAAUCCCCUGCGGCAGCAGCAUCCGCCCGGCCUGGCGGCGGAUCCCGGCGUUCAUCCAUCGCUCGGCCGAUCGGCUGCUUCCCCCUCGCCGCCCGUUGCUAGGCAGGCCCGGACGCAGCUGCCGCCGUUUCCUGCCCGCUCGGGGGCGGCCGGCGGCGGGACGCGGCGCCCACCCUCCCUCUCCUUCCCCGCCAUGGAGGGUGACAAGAGAAGAACCAGAGAAGAUACUUGGAAAUCAGAAGAACUGUGGAAACAUCUCAGGGCAUCACAACCAGAUAGUCAAAAUGAAGACCAAAAGCACAGAGAAAAGAAACUGCAGAAAGAGAAGUCUGUUUAUGACACAGACACUCAUAAACAUGAACGCAAAGACAGAGGGAAGAGCAAGGAAAGAACAAAAGACAGAGAGCGAUUUAGAUCUGGUGAAAGAGACAGGGAUAAAAUGAGAGAGAGAGAAAGGGGAAAAGAGCACCAGAGAGAAGGAGAGCGAGAGAGAUACAAAUAUAAGCUUCGAGAGUCAAGUAUGGAGAAAGACAAUUACCACAUACCAAAAGAUAAAGACAAGGAGAGCAAUAGGGAACAGGAUAAAAAACAUAAAAGACAUGAGAUAAAGCAAAUAGAUACACAAAAUAAUCUGAAGUCAUUUGAAGGAAGAGAUAAAGAACAUCACAGAAGAAGAGAAAGCAGGCAUCAUUUGGGUAAGUUGGUUUGGGUUGCUCUUGUACUUUGAAAUAUUUGAUAUUUAGAUAGAAAUACUCUGAAAGCAUGCCUUACCUGGACAGAGAGGAUAAAGA